rnacentral:misc_RNA from 1 species
AACGCAUCUUGCGCUCCUUGGUAUUCCGAGGAGCAUGCCUGUUUGAGUGUCAUUCAACUCCUCAACCACAUUCAUUGAUUGUGGCUUGGAUGCUGGGGGUUUGUUUGCAGGCUUCUUCUGUAAAACAGAAAAGGUCGGCUCCCCUGAAAUGUAUCAGUGGUAUCUGAGGCUAUUGCUAUAGGUGUGAUAAUUAUCUAUGCCCUUGGUAUGCCACAUGAACCGCUUCUAAACCCAGAGAUGAUCUAUUUCUUUUGAUGAAUUUGACCUCAAAUCAGGUAGGACUACCCGCUGAACUUAA